UCUAACUUCAUAAUAGAAAUGCGAAAAUUGACGAAAAACAAUGCCAAUGAUGAUGAUGAUGAUUCUUUCGUUCACAUCGAUUUGGCAGAGAUUACGGAAUUACAAUUUAUAAUCCCUCUGUUGCAGCUGACACACGCCACACACGCUUCUCUGGCGGUGACACGAGAUAAAGUAAACCAUAAUAAACAAAUAGGUACAUAAAUCAAUAAAAAAAAGUACUGAUAACUGGAAAAGGAUGAUGAUUUUUGACAAGGGAACACAGUAGCAAAUUGAAAAUAUGAAUCUUAUAUACAAACAUUCGUAAUAUAAGUCUAUGAAGAAUGAGGAUAUGAAAGGGUAAAAGAAAAAGAGGAAAAGGAAAAAAAAAGAAAGAAAAAAUGGAAGAAAAGAAGCAUAAAGAAGAAGAAUCGAAGAAAAAGGAAAGAAGAGAAGUACGGAAAAGCAAAAAAGGAAGAAAAAUAAGAAGUCGAAGAAGAAACUAAAAGAAAAACGGAAAAAAAGAAAGAGAAUAGAGAAAUGGAAGAAAAGAAGCAAAAAUAAGUAAAGAAGAAAAGGAAAUAAGAAAAGAAAAAGAAGAAAAAGGAACAGGAAGAAAAAUACAAUAAAAAAAAGAAAAAAAAAGGAUAAUGGAAGAAAAGAAGCAAAAAUAAUGAAAGAAAAGGAAAAAAAGAACAGGAAGAAAAAUACAAUAAAAUAAAGAAAAAGGAGAAAAUGGAAGAAAGGAAGCAAAAAUAAUGAAAGAAAAGGAAAAAAAUAAGAAUGAAAAAAGAACAGGAAGAAAAAUACAAUAAAAUAAAGAAAAAGGAGAAAUGGAAGAAAAUAAUAACAGAAAAGGAAAAAAAAAGAAAAUAAACUUAAAAGGAGGAGGAAGAAGAAAAAUAAAAAAAAGACUAAGAAGAAACUAUGACAUAUCCAAUUGUUACCGAGACUUACCGAAUCAUUACGUAUCCAAAACUAAUAUACAAGAACUUAACCCAAUGUGGAUGUAUAAGGCCCAUAGACUUUGACGUUUCCGGCUCUCAACAAACGUUUCCCAAGGCCACAAAGAUGAUUAGUCGAGUUCUCAUGGGUCUUUUUAACGUUCUUGAUGCAAAGGCCUUGUCAAACUAUCACUAGGCUCAUAAAACUGCCCAUGGAAAUACACAUAUGCCCCGAAAUGUUUAAGAAUGAGUGUGUUUAUAUUUUACAACUGUUUUCAAAGUCCACAAAGGAGAUUAGUCGGGUUAUAAUGAGUCUUUUUAACGUUCUUGAUGCAGAGGUCUUGUCAAACUAUCACUAGGCUCAUAAAACUGCCCUUGGAAAUACACAUAACCUUACCGAAUGUAUGUGUGGUAUAGAUCCCAAAAUGUAUAAGAAUAUGGAUGUGUUUAUAUUUUACAACUACUUUCAAAGCCCACAAAGGAGAUUAGUCGGGUUCUAAUGAGUCUUUUUAACGUUCUUGAUGCAGAGGUCUUGUCAGACUAUCACUAGGCUCAUAAAACUGCCCUUGGAAAUACACAUAACCUUAUCGAAUGUACUAUGCGUGUAUGCCUCCUGUUCUUUCUUUAUUCUUUCUAAUUUUUGCUUAUUUUCCAUUUUUCUCUUUCUUUUUUUUCCCAUUUGUUCUUUUAGUUUCUUCUUCGACUUCUUAUUUUUCUUCCUUUUGCUUUUACUUCUCCUCACUGUUAUACGUUCAUGGUGCAGCAGCCUUGUCAAACUCCUCUUUCUCUUCCUCUUCAUAUUCCUACAAUUUAUCCUUUUACUCCUCCUCCUCAUUCUCCAGGUGCUUAGUCUCUCCUGCCCGGCUAAGUUAUCACCUCCUCAUAUUCCUACAACUUAUCCUCUAACUCCUCCUCAUUCUCCAGUGCUUAGUCUCUCCUGCCCGGCUAAGUUAUCACCUCCUCAUAUUCCUACAACUUAUCCUCUUACUCCUCCUCAUUCUCCAGUGCUAGUCUCUCUGGCCCGGCUAAGUUAUCACCUCCUCAUAUUCCUACAACUUAUCCUCUUACUCCUCCUCAUUCUCCAGUGCUAGUCUCUCCGGCCCGGCUAAGUAAUCACCUCCAAUCUUCAUUAUUCUUUUAUUCAUCAUUACUACACUUAGUAAAGACAAUGUUCAAAAAUAGUACAAGCAUGACCUGAGAUUAUGUAUGAAACUUUAUCAUUAUUAGUUGUAUAUUUUCUCCAAGACUGAUAAGAAAAGUCGAGUUAAAAGGUUUCAAUUCUAUCCAUAAUCGCUUGUAAUCAUAUUCAUUUACAGCAAUUGAUGUGACCCAGAGACUUUCGUGAGUGAUGGAGUCUUAACCCGGUAACAGCGGGGAUCAUGUUUCUUAAUGGUCCCUCUAAGCGAGAAAAAUGAGAAAAAAUCAUCACUCACACAAACCAUUUCAUAAUAUAUAUCAAAGCAUUUGUGAUCAGUUUAUGUAUCAUCUAUUUUGGGGGGUUUAUAUCAUGGCACAAAUAUGGCCCGUCGCUGCUACAUGGUAAAGCCACAAAUUUGGCCCGUCGCUGCUACCGGGUUAAGCUCAUUUUCUCACACACUUUCAGCUCUCACAAACACAAUUUCCCAAAGCCACAGAGGAGAUUAAUCAGUUUCCCAUGAGUAGUUUUCACAUUCUCAGUGCAGAAGCCUUGUCAGUCUAUCACCAGGCUCAUACAAACUACCCAUGAAAACACUAACACAACCUCUAUGAAAGCCUUAUAUGUGGGUGGGCGAGCUCUUGUGAUGUUUGAGUAUAUGGGCCAAUAGGUUGAGGUGACAGCCAAGCCUCCAUCACUCAGGGACAGAUCUUGAGUCAUUAUGGUUCAUUCACAUUAGCUUGGCAGAUUAGCUCCUCCCCCUCCUCUCUCCUCUGGUCUGCCAUUGGUUCAUACACUUGUUUACUUUUUGUGAGUAGUGAGAAACAGGAGGCAGACCAUCAGUUUUUUUUUCCAUUGUUUUGAUUCAUUUUUACUUCAUUGGGAUUUUUUUUUUUUUUUUUUUGUUGGUGUUGAUGGCAGUUGUAAAAGAAGAAGAAGAAGAAGAAGAAGAAGAAGAAGAAGAAGAAGAAGAAGAAGAAGAAGGAGGUUGUAGAGGGAGAAAAUGUAGAAAACUGAAGAGGAGGAGGAGGAGAAAGAGGAAGAGAAGAAGCUUUAGCAGAAUGAAGAGGAGGAGAAAGAGGAAGAGAAGAAGCUUUAGCAGAAUGAAGGGGAGGAGAAAUAGUUGUAGAAGAAUGUAUAAGAGGAGGAAGAAAAUAAAUUGUUGGAAUAUGAAAAGGAAGAGGAGGAGAGAAAGAGGAGGAACAGAAGUUUUAGGAGAAUGAAGAAAAGGAUAAGUUGUUUUAGGAGAAUGAAGAAAAGGAGAAGUAGUUUUAGGAGAAUGAAGAAAAGGAUAAGUAGUUUUAGGAGAAUGAAGAAAAGGAGAAGUAGUUUUAGGAGAAUGAAGAAAAGGAGAAGUAGUUUUAGGAGAAUGAAGAAGAGGAAGAGAAUAAACUGUAGGAAAAUGAAGAGAAAGAGGAGGAGAAAGGGGAGAAUAAGAAGUUUUAGGAGAAUAAAGAGAAAGAGAAAUAGCUGUAGGAGAAUAAAGAGGAGGAAGAAGAGAAUAGAGUGUAGGAAAAUGAAGAGGAAGAAGAGAGUAAGUUGUAGGGAAGUGAAAAGGAAGAAGAGGAGAAAGAGGAGGAAAGAGGAGAAUUUUUAGAGUGAGGAGGAGGAGGAAAAGAAAUUAAGAGGAAGUGGAAAAUGAGGAUGAGGAGGAGGAGACAUAGGAGCUUAAUCACCAAGUUAAUAUGAAAUAACUGAUUGGCAAUUAGUAUUAACGAGAGAAUUAAUUCCUUAAAACUUUGGACUUUCAUGACAUUGACUUAGGCUAAAUAUUGCUGUGUGGCUGAGGGAUGAAGCUAUACACACACACACACACACACACACACACACACACACACAUAUACAUUCAACAUCAGUAUAUCGAACCUAAAGACCUCAUCACACAAUGUUGUAGUUCCUGUGACACAUGAUGUUUCGGAUGACACAUUAACUUAAAAUCCAUGACCCAGACACAUAAUUACACUUAAGUUCACAUAAAGACUGACUGUGGGGUUUUAACUCUAUGAACCUGAUGUCGUCUUAGCAAGUUACUACAUAGAUCAACACGUAUUUCUCCUCUUUCCUCUUCUUUCUCCUCCUCUUCCUUUUCACUUCCCUACAACUUUCUCUCUUCUUCCUCUUCAUUUCCCUACAUUGUAUUCUCUUUCUCCUCCUCUUUAUUCUCCUAAAGCUUCUCAUUCUCCUCUUUCUUUCAUAUUUUACUAUCAAAGAACGUAUUUUUCAGUCACAUUUUAUUGGCUCACUCUAUAUUAUUCAUUCCUAUACAAAUUAAUAUGUCUUACUCUUUCCUUUCAUCAUCAUCAUUAGGUUUUCAGCUUUAUAUACUUGACAAUCUAAAUAAAAUGCCUUUCCAUACAAACUGAUGCAUCUAUAUCACUCUUUUUCAUUAUUAUAAUUAGAUUUUCAGAUAUUUUACUUGACGAACCACAUAAGUUUCAUUCGUACACAAAAUCAAUACAUCUUAAAUCACUCUUUUUCAUCAUUAUUAUUAGGUAUUUAGUUUGAUUUCCUUGACAAUGUAGAUAUAAUGAAUUCCUAUAGAUAAUGCUGCUGCUAAAUCACUCAUUCUUUUUAUCAUAAUUAUAAGGUAUUAGAAUAUUUCAAGCCAUUUAAACAUUUGAACUGAGCAGAUGAAUGAAAAAGCUGGAUUCUCAAGACUGUCAACUGUAGGCUAUGUACUUCCGAAGGUGACUGGGGGAAGGUUCACAUUCUCUCUGCGUAAAUAUGUCUGGUACAGUAAAAACUCUUGCAUACAUCUCCCACAUCAAUACAACUGGUCUGGGUCUGGGUGUGGUGGCAAGUAGGUCAUUCAGUGUUUUGUAAGGGAGAGUAAAAUGAUUUCAUACCACAACUUCUCUUUGGUUUGAAAUUACACUACUUUCCCCUCGGGCGCGUCAAGCGGAACAUCACGUAACACCGUACACACACACACACGCGCGGAACGAGGCCUCAGCGGCAGAACACAGGUGGAUUAAACUGGUCUACAUAAUAAAUAUACGCAUGCCUCGGUCUUACAUCUACUGCGUUACAAAAGGAGGGAGGGGGAGGGAAAGCGAGUGAAAUCAUGAAUAUACAUACACUUGUUGAGGGGAUAUACUGUGUGCUGGGGUGUGGCUUGUCCAGUUAGGUAGUGAUUUGCGACUCGGGGUAGAUUGAAAUGUCUUGUGUGUGGGUAUGAAUGUGUGGGAGGGGUGGGGAUGGGUAGGGGAGGAUACUGUCAUAUGUAUGUGUGUGUGUGUGUGUGUGUGUGUGUGUGUGUGUGUGUGUGAUGUUGAAUGUGUGUUGAUGUUGUGUGUGUGUGUGUGUGGAUACCAAGUGUGUUAGAUGUUGUGUGAGUGAGUGUGAUACAGUGUGUGAUGUCAUAUGUGUGUGUAUGUGUGUGUGUGGUUGUGUUUGGGAUGUUGAGUGUGUGUGUGUGUGUGUGUGUGUGUGUGUAUUUACCUAUUAGUGGUUUACAGGGCCUAAGUGGAUAGUCCUGUCUCCUUGUCUAUAUUUGUACAUGUCUCUGUGUGUGUGUGUGUGUGUGUCUGAGCAAUACCCAUACUAGCCUGCACUCCAUCCUCAUAACACUAUUCACCGUGAUAUGAAAGUUUUGUGGACAUAUGCACAUAACACAUCUAUCAAAUUGUUCUCUUCAUAAUUGUGGAUAUUUUCUCUUCAACUUCUCGAGAAAUGAAACUGACUAAAAAGGUAAUAAAAUACUUUAAUUCUUACUUUUUUGAGAUCCAGAACUAAAGAAAAUUCAUCCCUGCACGUCUUUAUAAAUUUUCGGCGUUUGUUUUCACAGUAACAAACGAAUACAUACAUCUCUUUCGUUGACUUAAACUAAUACAUUGCCAAAAGAACUUAGCCAAAACACUUCCGAUACUCAUUCCAUCCUGUGCUAUGCCUUGAAAAUUCAAUAUAUGAGGCAAGAACUUAGCCAAAACACUUCCAAUACUCAUUCCAUCCUGUGCUAUGCCUUGAAACUUCACUAAGAGAGGCAAGACACUGGGCAAAAGACAAGCCUCCACACACAAUUGAUAUUUACGGCAGGAACAAAAUCCUUCAACCACAUCAUCAAUCAUACAAUGUUACCACAAAUCCACUUACUACAGAGCUUAGGGCCAGGACUGAGGAAGAGAUAUACAAGGAGAGAGAACAGAGACUAAGGGCAGACUGAAGGAAACAUGGAAGAGGUGUGAAGAAAAAGAGAUUAAGGAUAGGACUGAGAGGAGGAGGAGUGAGGUAGGAGAGAGACCAGAGAAGAAGUAGACUGAGAAAGGCAUUGAAGAGAGAGAAGAAUGAACAGAGGGUAGGAGAGAGGGAUAAUACAUGCAAAGGGAAAGGUUGGAGAGUGAACAGAGAUUAGGAAUAGACUGAAAAAUACAAGGAAGAAAGAGAUGCUAGAAUGAAUAGAAAGAAGUAGUUUAAGAUAGCCUGUGAUGUAAUGUAUGUAUGUGUUUGUGAUGUGUAUGUGUGUGACUGAUAGAUACAUGAGAGUGGAUGUGUGUGAAAGGUGGGAAAAGAUGUUUAUGAAGAGGGUGCAGUGGAAACACCUCUACCAUGGUCACCCCUUUGAUAGACAGCUGAAUUAUUCUAUGCGAUGUGAGAUGGAAAGCCACACCACAGCAACACAUGACACACCUCUCAACACUAACCUACACUACCAAUGAGUGACAAACUGGUAAGGUAAACGAAACUUAUCAGGGUUUAUUCACACUGAAAAUUGGGUCUUACUAGUACGGCCUCGCGCACGUAACGCUACAAAUGCUUCCUAGCCAGACGAUCUUAGCCAGGAAAAGGAGUCUAUCCCAGAGGUGAGACGUACAUAAGGGAGUGGUUUGGCAGCUCCCAGCAUACAGCAUGGGAGUGUAUGUUACCCCUCGGACACCAGGUUCUUAAGAGUGGAUGGUAGUCGUUCUAGCAUGAAGGUUACUAUAGAGGAUUCGUAUUUAUCAAAAGUAGCGUUGCCCACUUUUUGCCUCUCCUCUCUCUGUCAUAACAUACAGCAAAUCCUUGAAACUAUGUCCAAAGAAAUCCUUACUGCUUAACUUUCUACUCUCAGUAUAAUGGUAACUGCAGAGGAUUAGCAUAUCUUUUGAGUAGCAUUGCCUCCCUCCCCUUACCUCUCCUCUCCUGCCCUAACCACACAGCAAGUCUUUCAAAUAAUGUGCAAAUAAGUCCUCACUCCCUAACAUCCUCCUCUCAGAAUGAAGUUAUCUACGGAGGAUUCACAUUGACGGUAGUAUUGCUCUCCCUAACCUCUCCUCUCCUAACCAUACAGCAGGUCCUUCAAAUAAUGUGCAAAUAAGU